GACGAAGGUGGCGAGCGUUACUCGGAUUUACUAGGCGUAAAGCGUGGGCAGGCGGUUCGGUAAGUCUGUUGUGAAAGCUCCUGGCUUAACUGGGAGAGGUCAAUGGAUACUGCCGAGCUUGAAUGCGGGAGAGGUGACUGGAAUUCCUGGUGUAGCGGUGAAAUGCGUAGAUAUCAGGAGGAACACCUAUGGCGAAAGCAGGUCACUGGACCGUUAUUGACGCUCAUCCACGAAAGCUGGGGGAUCAAACAGG
rnacentral:rRNA from 1 species